UUACAAUGCCCAAAGAGCAAAUUGUUUGAUUCAGCUGCAGCAAUGGUCUUUCCACAGAGAAAGUUUGCAGUUUUCAACAGCCCUAAGUGCUGCAUUCUCCUAACUGAGGUAAAUACUCUGCAUUGUUUUCUUCCCAGGUGAUUCAAGCUGCAAGAUAGAUGACUAGGACUCAAAUACCGGAAAAGAGAGCUCCACAGAACUUUUUCUCCAAGUGUGUCACCGAGAAAUAGUCCUGAAAGCAGAAUACCCCAACUGGCACAAGAGAACCACUGAUUUGCUUCCUGUCACCACAGAUCGUGCACACUGAGGAAGACAGACAACAAAUAACUCUGCGGAUAGAUCAACAUAGUGAGGAACUGAGUUCUCCAAACAGCAGCUACAUGAGUGAGCCAUUC